CGGACAUUUUUUAAUUACAGCGGCCCACUACAAAGGGGGCGGGGCCAGAUAGGGUGUGUUUUGUCAUCACCAAUGACAAGCACGCCCCAUCACAAAGUGAGCAUGUUGGUUCAAUGCUCUUUCAGGGUAGACCAUGCGCAGAGCUCUGCUGAAGAGCUCUGGCAUGAGAAAAAGACCCUGUAUUUGUUCUGCACAGCGCAAGCAAAUUCAAUAACAUGCUUGCACUGUGUUUGCUUGAAAUUUGUCUCUGGUGUCU